UGCACAUUUCAGUAUUUUAAAUGGUUUAUAAAAUUAUAAUGCGAGUACAUUCUUUAUAGGGCAUACUGGAAAGGCAAGACACACAAGGUUCUUCAAAUUUUGCUAUGCAGAAGUCCGAUAACGAGGUCAACCACUCCUCCAAGAAUGCAAGAAAUGAUGAGGAGGAUAUGUGCUGAAAGGAAACCUCUAAAUCAUCUAACAAAAAGCAACAAAGGAGGACAAAGAGACAUAAGUCUAGCAAAAUAUAUGAAAAAGAUGUGACAAUGUUUGCUUCCAGAAAUAGCAGAAAACCAAUUGUAAUCAAAGCUCCUGAUGACGAGGAAGAGCCAAAAACUGUUUCGCCGAAGAUAAAAGGAGAGACCAAACAUAAGAGAUGUAAACAGGAUUUGAAAAGAAAGGCUUUGCGAAAUAAAAAGAAGUUCUUAUAGAGAGCAAUCUAUUCGAUAAUGAGCGAGACAACAAUAGUCACGCCGACAACAACUGUACCAGCACAGAUGACCAUAAUGAAGAAUGGAACACCAAAACUAGAAGCAGAACAAAGAAGGAAAGGACCGAUUGCAUAAAGAGGAGGAAAAUAUCAUCUGAAGACAUGCAGCCAACCUUGUAUGAUAGACCUAAGAGGAUUAAGAGAGAACCAGCGAGAUACAUGGGCUAGGCAUUAUACAGCAGCAAGUGCUUACAUACGUCCAAUAGCUGCAAGAGUUGAAGAAUAUACUAUA